CAAGUAGGCGGAACAAUUAGUCAGGUGUUAAAGGCGUCGGCUCAACCGGCGUACGGCAUUUGAUACUGUUGUUCUAGAGUAAGGUGGGGGAAGACGGAAUUCCUGGUGUAGCGGUGGAAUGCGGAGAUAUCAGGAAGAACACCGGUGGCGAAGGCGGUCUUCUAUACCAUUACUGACGCUCAAUUGCGAAGGUGUGGGUAUCGAACAGGAUUAGAUACCGUGGUAGUC
rnacentral:rRNA from 1 species